rnacentral:rRNA from 1 species
GACGAACGCUGGCGGCGUGCUUAACACAUGCAAGUCGAACGGAAAGGCCCUGCUUUUGUGGGGUGCUCGAGUGGCGAACGGGUGAGUAACACGUGAGUAACCUGCCCUUGACUUUGGGAUAACUUCAGGAAACUGGGGCUAAUACCGGAUAGGUGCUCCUGCUGCAUGGUGGGGGAUGGAAAGGUUCGGCGGUUGGGGAUGGGCUCGCGGCUUAUCAGCUUGUUGGUGGGGUAGUGGCUUACCAAGGCUUUGACGGGUAGCCGGCCUGAGAGGGUGACCGGCCACAGUGGGACUGAGAUACGGCCCAGACUCCUACGGGAGGCAGCAGUGGGGAAUAUUGCACAAUGGGCGGAAGCCUGAUGCAGCAACGCCGCGUGCGGGAUGAUGGCCUUCGGGUGGUAAACCGCUUUCGCCUGUGACGAAGCGUGAGUGACGGUAAUGGGUAAAGAAGCACCGGCUAACUACGUG